AACGAACGCUGGCGGCAUGCCUAACACAUGCGAGUCGAACGAACCCUUCGGGGUUAGUGGCGCACGGGUGCGUAACGCGUGGGAAUCUGCCCUUUGCUUCGGAAUAACUCAGGGAAACUUGUGCUAAUACCGGAUGAUGUCUUCGGACCAAAGAUUUAUCGGCAAGGGAUGAGCCCGCGUAGGAUUAGGUAGUUGGUGGGGUAAAGGCCUACCAAGCCGACGAUCCUUAGCUGGUCUGAGAGGAUGAUCAGCCACACUGGGACUGAGACACGGCCCAGACUCCUACGGGAGGCAGCAGUGGGGAAUAUUGGACAAUGGGCGCAAGCCUGAUCCAGCAAUGCCGCGUGAGUGAUGAAGGCCCUCGGGUCGUAAAGCUCUUUUACCAGGGAUGAUAAUGACAGUACCUGGAGAAUAAGCUCCGGCUAACUCCGUG
rnacentral:rRNA from 1 species